UUUUUUUUCCAUCACAGUUAUUUUUGUUGAUUCUAUUUUCUCCUUUUUUUUUAAUUUUUUUGUUCAUUUCCAGCACCAUUUUUCUCAGUUUUUCCUUCUUUUUCAUCACUGGGUUUUAUUUAUUUCUUUUUCUCAGUCUUUUUCUUUAUCUUUUUCCAUCAGUAUUUUUUUUACGUAACUGUUCUUUUUUUUCUGGUUUUCUCAUUUUUUCUGCUUUUCCAUCAAUGUUUUUUUACUAUUAUUUUCUAUUUCUGUUUUUUUCUCAUUUAUUUUCAUUUCCCACCAAUGUUUUUUUCUAAUUGCUCUUUUCUCUUUCUAUUUUCCUCUUUUUCUCCUUUUCCAUCACAGUUUUUUCUUUUAAUUGUUCUUCUUUUCCUUUUGUUUUUAUUUUAAUUUUUUUUGUUCGUUUUCAUCAGGGCAUUUUUUUUCCUGUUCCAUAAUAUCUUUUUUUCCACCAUUAUUUUCUUUUCAUCAGUCUUUUUUUCCUUUUCCAUCAGUCUGUUUCUUUUUCCAUCAGUAUCUCUUCUUUUCCAUGAGCCGUUUUUUAAUUGUUUGUCUUUUCCAUUUGUCUUUCUUCAGAUUUUAUUUCAUUCUUUUCCUUUACAGUUUAUUUUCCUCUCCCCCCAAAAAAGACAUAUCACUAAGCCUAUUUCUGACCACGACACAGACAUAUUUUCUUAUUUUCAUUUAUCUCAUUUUAUCUUUUACGACAUUUUUUUCCAAUUUUUUUUCCUUCAUUUCCUCUUAAAAACACAUUUCUGGGCCCAUUUCACGUUGCAUCGGCUAGCAUUUUUUUUAUAGUAGUGCCUCAUUUUCUAGCCCACUCCUGGUACGUCUGAGAAAGUCUUGUCAUUCCAGCCCACAGCACGAUUUUUGGUCUGCGGUUUUAUAAGGCUGAAGGAAGUGGGCUGGGCGUGUGUGGUGUAUCUGGGCUUGGUGUGAAAGGACUGAAAAUAUUACUUGUUUUUGCGUGUGUGGGCUUAAACUAACUGGGCUUGGCGUGUCCGGGCUUGAAAUAUUAGCUGUUUUGUGUGGAUUGGGCUUGGUUGAGCUGAGAAAACUGGGCUGACAUUUUAGGGCUUAGAAUUAUCAGCUGUUUUGUGUGUGGUCUUUUGGAAGUGUCAGCUUCUUGUGUGUUUGGGCUUAGAAAUGUCAGCUGUUGGGCGUGUGUGUGUGCGUGUGUUUGGGCUGAGAAAACUGGGCUGACAUUUUAGGGCUUAGAAUUAUCAGCCAUUUUGUGUGUGGCCUUUUGGAAGUGUCAUUUGUCUGUGUGUUUGGGUUUAGAAAUGUCAGCUGUUGGGCUUGUGUGUGUGUGCGUGUGUUUGGGCGGAGAAAACUGGGCUGGCUGACAUUUUAGGGCUUAAACUUGUCAGCUGUUUAUCGUAUGUGGGCGUGUAUGGGUGUGAAUGUUUCUGGCUUUGAGAAGGUCUGAUAUAACUGGGCGUUUUUUUUAUUAUAUGGGCUUGGAAGUGACAGCUGUCGGGCUUGUAUGGGCUUAUAUUUAUGUUAAAAAGCCUGAUAUGAUUGGGGUUUUCAAAUGGAAUGGGCUUGGAAGUGACAGCUGUCGGGCUUGUAUGGACUGAUAUUUACGUGUUUGGGCUUGAAAAAUUAAAAAGCCUGAUGUGAUUGGGGUUUUCAAAUGGAAUGGGCUUGGAAGUGACAGCUGUCGGGCUUGUAUGGGCUGAUAUUUACGUGUUUGGGCUUGAAAAAUUAAAAAGCCUGAUAUGAUUGGGCGUUUUCAAAUGGGAUGGGCUUGGAAGUGACAUCUGUCGGGCUUGUAUGGAAUUUAUAUAUGUGUUUAAGCUUGAAGAAGUGGAAAGUCUGAUGUGUUUGGGCGUAUGAAGAUGGAAAGGGCUUUAAAAUGACAGCUGUUUGGGCGUAUGAAGAUGGAACGGGCUUUAAAAUGACAGCUGUUUGGGCGUAUGGAAAUGGAACGGGCUUUAAAAUAACAGCUGUUUGGGCGUAUGAAGAUGGAACGGGCUUUAAAAUGACAGCUGUUUGGGCGUAUGAAGAUGGAACGGGCUUUAAAAUGACAGUUGUUUGGGCGUAUGAAGAUGGAGCGGGCUUUAAAAUGACAGCUGUUUGGGCAUAUGAAGAUGGAAAGGGCUUUAAAAUAACAGCUGUUUGGGCGUAUGAAGAUGGAAAGGGCUUUAAAAUGACAGCUGUUUGGGCGUAUGAAGAUGGAAAGGGCUUUAAAAUGACAGCUGUUUGGGCGUAUGAAGAUGGAAGGGGCUUUAAUAU